UCUUCUGAUCACUUUCAUUUCGCUCUGAAGCCUUGAAAAUCCAUGUUUUGCUACAUUCAAACAUCCGAUCACUAAUAAGUUAGUGUGUUAACAUACAUCUUUCCCUAGAAAAAGUGUAACCUCUUUUUUAUCGUUUCAAAUAUGAUGUUAUUUCCUUUGAUUCAAGACUGGUUGUGAAGUACUUGUGCUGCUCGCUAACUUCAAAUAUGAUGCGUGCAAGCGUAGCUGAGACUUAAGCCAUAUUCCUGAUUCUCACAGUUGACCUAAACUGAAUAUAUUGCAAAAAUGCAAGCACAUCUCUGAAAUGAGAGUACACUUAAGCCCUAUUCCUGAUAGCCAAUUCUUCACUAUUUCAUGGAAAUAGACGGGUGAAAAAAAAGUAGCUACAUGAGCAUUUGUUCUAAACUUGUUGGGUUACCACUAUGUCUGGCUUCGUUGGCCUCUCACCCUCACACGACCGCACAACACUGUCGUGUAACUCCCAUUCCGUCCUCUUCCAAGCGCCCGCACUACGGUUUCCGGCUGCCACCCGCUGCCUGUCCGCUUCCGCGCCGCAAUUGCUCUUCUCCUUGGUGGUACCUCCUGCCAUGGCCACCCUUGCUCUUGUUCGCACGCUGUUGUCGGGGCUGCCUCUGCUCCUUUCAGAGCACCACCGCUGUGUCUGCCCCCGUUUCCGUCUGCUCUUCACCCCUGCAUCCCUUCGCUUUCUGCCCCCACUACCACCCAUCGCCGUCUCUUCCUCUGGACUGAAUCAACAAGAAAUUCUCAAAGUUUGCAUCUAUUCAGAGUGCUUUUUAUUUGCCUUUUAGGAGAAUAUCCAGUUGUUUCAGAGCGUCUCGGAUACUCACAAUGGAACUAAAAUUAUAUUGAUUUGACUUGGUUAGCUCGGAAGGUGGAUUAGCUGGGGGAGGAACCAAGAAGCUUUAGGCCCAAGAACUUCGUGUGGACCAUGACCUCCUCAGUGUUGCCAAGCAGCACAACAUUCUCCACUGGUAGGCAUUCGUUGACGAGAAGCUUGGCCAAACCCAGUAGGUAUGCGUGGAAUUAUUGAGCUCAGGUUUUUGGGGAUUAAGAUUCUUACACCAAAGGAUCACUAUAUGCCAAGACUUCGAGGAUGAUAAGAGCGGAAGAUUUGGAUUUAAUUGUUAGGCUCGAUGGCUCAAAAUACGACAAGGAAUCAACUGAAAGAGGAACAUGUAUGAAUCGUACGGAAGAACUACUAUAUGCUAUUAAGAAUAAUUCGGUGUCUAAGAAACAUGGCGAUAUUAUAAUAAUCUCUCGGAUCCAUAUGUAUUUCAUUACUAGAUACAUCCGUUUGGCAUAAGUUUCUUUUCAUUCUGAACCUAAUAAUAUCUCCAUGCUUUUAGAGGUUAUUUAGCUAAUACUUCCUCCGUCCGGUAAUACUUGUCAGAGAAAUGGAUGUAUCUAGACAUAUUUUGGCUCAUUGAUGGCAUGUACUCCCGUUGUUCCUAAAUAUAAGUUUUUCUAGAGAUUCCACCAAGUGACUACAUA